rnacentral:ncRNA from 1 species
UCGAACCAUCUAGUAGCUGGUUCCCUCUGAAGUUUCCCUCAGGAUAGCUUGCACUCGGUUGAGACGAGUCUCAUCCGGUAGAGCGAAUGAUUAGAGGCAUUGGGGUCGAAACGACCUCAACCUAUUCUCAAACUCCAAAUAGAUGAGAUCCCCGGCUUUCUUAAAAGUGAAGCCGUGGGAAUAGGAUCAGAGUGCCAAGUGGGCCAAUUUUGGUAAGCAGAACUGGCGCUGUGGGAUGAACCAAACGCAGAGUUAAGGCGCCUAAAUUGACGCUCAUGUGAAACCAUGAAAGGCGUUGGUUGCUUAAGACAGCAGGACGGUGGCCAUGGAAGUUGGAAUCCGCUAAGGAGUGUGUAACAACUCACCUGCCGAAGCAACUAGCCCUGAAAAUGGAUGGCGCUGUAGCGUCGUGCCUAUACUCUGCCGUCAAUGACAAAGAUGAUUAAUAAGCUGUGUGUUAAUUAAUGUUGUAGUCUUGACUGCAGUAUUGUUAAUUACAAAGUUUAUUACUAUAUCAUCAUUAUGUCUUGAUGAGUAAGAGGGCCGCGGCGAUGAGCGCAGAAGGGUCUGGGCGAGAGCCCGCCUGGAGCCGUCGCUGGUGCAGAUCUUGGUGGUAGUAGCAAAUACUCCAGCGAGGCCCUGGAGGACUGAUGUGGAGAAGGGUUUCUUGUGAACAGCUGUUGCACAAGAGUCAGUCGAUCCUAAGCCCUAGGAGAAAUCCGAAGCGAUAUGCGCCCGUUAAAUAAUUUUUUUUUAUUAAAUGUUUGGCGCUAUCUGGGCGAAAGGGAAUCCGGUUCCUAUUCCGGAACCCGGCAGCGGAACCGUUCCAAAUCGGGCUCUCAUUUGAGAACUCGUCGGGGUAACCCGACAAGACCCGGAGACGCCGUAGGGAAAUUCGGAGAGAGUUGUCUCUUCUCUAUAAGCGUUCGAGUUCCCUGGAAACCUCUAGCAGGGAGAUAGGGUUUGGAACGCGAAGAGCACCGCAGUUACGGCGGUGUCCGGAUCUUCCCUACGGACCUUGAAAAUCCGGGAGAGGGCCACGAGGAACCCCGCGCCGGCUCGUACCCAUAUCCGCAGCAGGUCUCCAAGGUCAAUAGCCUCUAGUCGAUAGAAUAAUGUAGGUAAGGGAAGUCGGCAAAUCCGAUCCGUAACUUCGGGAUAAGGAUUGGCUCUGAGGACUGAGUCGUGCCGGGCUUGGUCGGGAAGUGGAGCGGUGUCAACGUGCCGGGCCUGGGCGAGGAGAAAAUUGCGUUUCUGCGCUUUUGGAUCCGAGCUCGGUCCCGUGCCUUGGCCACCCACGGAUCUUCCUUGCUGCGAGUCGUUAGCCGUGUGGUUACCGCUGGCUUUUGCUAGCUGGUCGACCUGGCUUACGAUCUCUUCGGCCGACAUUCAACAGUCAACUCAGAACUGGCACGGACAAGGGGAAUCCGACUGUCUAAUUAAAACAAAGCAUUGCGAUGGCACCAACGGGUGUUGACGCAAUGUGAUUUCUGCCCAGUGCUCUGAAUGUCAAAGUGAAGAAAUUCAAGCAAGCGCGGGUAAACGGCGCGGUUAUUGUUCAAUUGUCUUAUGUUAUGGGGAGCCAUACCAGGUGAAAUGUUAGAGGCGCAGACCACAAUGAUUCCGAAGGUAUCAGGGCCGCUCGCUCCGGGGGAUUAUAGGCCCAUAACUGUGGCCUCGGUUAUUGUGCGUCACUACCACAAGCUAUUGGCACGCCGGCUGGGCGACGCGUAUGAUUUUUUGCCUGCGCAGAAAGGUUUUGUACCGGGCUUAGACGGCGUAGGGGAUAGUGUGAUUCGCUUGAAUGCGAUACUGCGUAAAGCCAGGAGGUCACGGCGGGCGUUGGUGGUUGUCAGUCUGGACGUGGCUAAGGCUUUCGAUAGCGUCAGUCACGAGGCUAUCUUGGCCGUACUCCGGGGCAAGGGUUCGCCGCCAGCACUCACGGAUUAUGUGGCGAGAUGUUUGUCGAGAUCGACACUAAGGUUGAAAUGGCGGGGGGACAGGUCCAGGGCCAUCCGUAUGGCAAGGGGGGUUAGGCAGGGAGACCCGUUGUCCCCCUUCCUUUUCAAUAUUGUAAUGGAUCACGUAUUGACUGGGCUCCCGGAGAGAGUGGGCUUCCCGUUGGGGUCGCCGGGUGCUCGGAUCGGGGCUUUGGCGUACGCGGACGAUUUGCUGCUGUUUGCUUCUUCGGAGAUUGGUGCGAGGGCACAGAUCGCGGCGGCCGAGUCGGGCCUAGCGGAGUGCGGUUUGAGGGUUAACCCGAGGAAGUCUUGGUCCCUUUGUCUCAAUCCGUCCGGGAGGCAAAAGCUUGUUAAGGUGGACUCUGAUGUCGGAUUUCGGGCUGCGGGCGAGAGAGUGUUCUCGGUAGGAAUUGCGGACACUUUCGACUAUCUUGGAACGCGGUUUGGGCCAUUCGGGGCGAGCGAGGUGGUACUGGGCCUUGAUGAGAAGCUGCAUAAGGUGCAUCGUGCCCCGUUGAAACCGCAACAAAAGUUGGAGGUGGUGAGGGAUUUCUUACUGCCGGGGACAUAUCACGAGUUGGUAUUGGGGCAGGUGCGGAAACCGGAACUCUCUAGAUGGGACGUGAAGGUGAGGUCUUUUAUCAGGGGAUGGCUGCGGCUGCCGCACGAUAUCGCGAAUGCUUAUUUGCAUGCUCCGAUAAAGUGCGGGGGCUUGGCCCUCCCUGAGCUGGCCAGGUUGGUGCCGGCAUGGCGGCGGCUCCGACGGGAGAGAAUUAUUUCGGGUUGGGGGGACGCGGAGGCCGAGGAAUUGGGGGGGUAUUAGAGGAGGUGGGGGGUGGAAUCACCCCCAGUGAAGUGCGGGUGGCUCAGAUGGAGGACCUCCACAGACGAGUGGACGGCCGGGAUCUCGAGGAGUCCGCGAGGGUAGCGGCCUCAUAUAGCUGGAAGCGGGCGGGCGCUAACGCAUUAUCGGGGCGCGAGUUUGUACAGUUUGUCCGGCUGCACGCGGGUUGUCUCCCGAGUAGGAUGAGGAGGGCCAGAGGCAGAAGAGAGGAAUCGGGGCCAUUGUGGUGCAGAGCGGGGUGCCCUAGGGCGGAGACCGUUGCACAUAUUGUGCAGGCCUGCCAUGUGUCAAAGGGGGGCAGGAUACUCAGGCAUCAUGCUGUGGUCAGGGUGCUUGCUGCGGCCUUUGAAAUACGGCGAUACGGGGUGUAUCAAGAGGUUUCUAUGGCGCUGGCGGGGGUUCGGGUAAGGCCUGAUUUGGUGGUGACCAAGAGGGAAUGCGCGUGGGUCUUGGAUGUGCAGGUGGUCUCACCGCAGGGUGCGCUGGCUGUAAUUGAUAGUCGGAAAAGGGCCAAAUAUGACACGGCAGAGGUGCGCGGGGCGGUACAAGAACUGACAGGCAAGCGUGAGGUCGGUGUGGUGGCGGUCACCAUUUCAUGGAGGGGGAUCUGGUGCGUCCGCUCGGCGCGGGACCUGCGGGCCAUGGGAAUAAGCGCGAGGGUGCUGGAGUGGAUCACGGAAAGGGUCUUACGGGGAUCACACACGAAUUGGACACGCUGGAAUGCUUUGAGGGGUGAUCGCGCGGGUUAAAAUACUUAGGCCUGGUUGAGAAUCAUGGUUAUGCUAUGGGAGAAGGGCUGUAUCGGUGAACACUCCAAUUGCUCCCCUCUGGGGGGCAGUUUUGACCCGAAUGGGUCCAUUUUCGGCCGUCUGGCCAGAUUGGGCGUAGAGCCGCCCUUUAGGUUUAGGCCUUGGUAAAGCGAGUUGUGUCAGUGAAGUAUUGUCUGCAUUAUUUAUGUACAGGUUUUGUAUUGGGGUUAUUUAGUAUCUAUUAUUUAGUGUUUAGUAUUUAACAUUGAUAUAUUUUUGUAUUAUAUUGGUAUUUGCAUUAUUGUAAGAAAUGUACAUAUGCUCAAAUAUAAAUUGUCAAUAGCCAAAUGCCUCGUCAUCUAAUUAGUGACGCGCAUGAAUGGAUUAACGAGAUUCCCUCUGUCCCUAUCUACUAUCUAGCGAAACCACGGCCAAGGGAACGGGCUUGGAAAAAUCAGCGGGGAAAGAAGACCCUGUUGAACUUGACUCUAGUCUGGUACUGUAAGAAAACAUGAGAGGUGUAGCAUAAGUGGGAGGUAGUUUUUUUAAACUGCCGACAAUGAAAUACCACUACUUUCAUUGUUUCCUUACUUACUCGGUGAGGCGGAGGGCGUCCGUCGGGGUGAUACCACCUCGGUGUGACGGUAUUCUCGUGCCAAACGCCAAGGGUUGUCGACGUUCGAUCGUACGCCUUGUCGCGUUUAAGAUGUGGAUAUUCCUAAACGGAAUUGAUGCGUCUUAUUCGUUGUGCAAUGGCGGAUUCGGUCGUAUCGUUCGGCAACAUACUCCCUAGCGUGAUCCGAUUCGAGGACACUGCCAGGCGGGGAGUUUGACUGGGGCGGUACAUCUGUCAAAAAAUAACGCAGGUGUCCUAAGGUCAGCUCAGCGAGGACAGAAACCUCGCGUAGAGCAAAA